AACGCACCUUGCGCUCCUUGGCACUCCGAGGAGCACGCCUGUUUGAGUGUCAUUGAAUUUCUCAAAUGCCCCCAGCCCCUGUCCCUUCUUCCUUUUCAGCUUCCUGUAAAAGAGAGUGUAUUGAAUCGGAGGGUGGCAGGUUGGUGGCUUUGGAUCGGUGGAGGUCUUUGCAGGCCCAUCUCCUGCUCCUCUGAAAUGCAUCAGCAAGGAGCCAUGAUGGUGUCUGCAUCUGUCGUCGGCAUGAUAAUUUUUUUCAUCCUUGUGCCGUGGACAAUGGAGCCCAUCCUGUCUCUCCUGCUUCUAAAAACUGUGCCAGUUCUUCUGCACAACUCUGACGGUUUGACCUCAAAUCAGGUGGGACUACCCACUGAACUUAA
rnacentral:misc_RNA from 1 species